AGGUAUAAAAAUUUUAAAUAAUAAUAAAAGUAGGGGUAAGAAAGUAAUCGCAAUCUCUAAAAGAAAGGGAAGGUGGGUGAGUUUGCCGCGUAAAUGUUGGAAAAUUGCAUUAACCAAUCGGCAAUGGCAGUCCAUUCCACUAUAUAUAUUUGCCGUCAAACACCAAUUUUUCCGCAAAAAUUCUCACCUUUUCAGUUUUUUUCUUCAAAUUUCCCAUUCAAGAAUCUUUACUCUUUUAUUAUUAUUAUUAUUAUUAUUAUUUUCUUUCCGCUUCUCCAUAAUUCUUUGGAUCAAAUUGCUUUAGCUUAUCGUCAACCAUGAAGAAAUCAGGGCUCUUCGCUGCCUCUGUUGUUGCUGCCUCUGCUUCUGCUUCCUCCAAUUUCACUUGUAACUCCAAUUUUCAGCUUUCCAGUGAGGAGAAGAAAGAGCAUGAAAAUUCUGCAAACACGAAACCAGCUCCAACCGAGAAAUUUGCACCGAGGUUUGAUGGGUUAAGGUUCAUUGAGACUUUGGUCACUGCUCACCGAUAAAAGAAAAAAGCUUCAAUUUUUUUUAACUUGAUGAAGAAUUUUUAUUAUUUUGACCUUUUUGGCCUUUACUACAUCCUUCUAAGCAAGAAGAGAAAGAUAUGAACUAUGAUGUUUUUCAGUGUUUAUUAGUACUAAUUAUGUGAAGAAAAAAAAGCCCCUUGUUUUCA